CCACACACUCUGGUGCUCUGUGGGGACCACCUGUCACUCCAAGCUGGAUGCAGCCGUGGACGGCACCCGGUGUGGGGAGAAUAAGUGGUGUCUCAAUGGGGAGUGCGUACCUGUGGGCUUCCGGCCCGAGGCUGUGGAUGGUGGCUGGUCUGGCUGGAGCGCCUGGUCCAUCUGCUCACGGAGCUGUGGCGUGGGCGUACAGAGCGCCGAGCGGCAGUGCACGCAGCCUACGUGAGUGUGGGGCCCAGGGUGCCCUUGGGCAAUGGGACAGAGGGACCCAAACAGUC
rnacentral:lncRNA from 1 species